rnacentral:rRNA from 1 species
UAAGGUGGAGAGUGGCGCACGGGUGAGUAACACAUGGCUGACCUGCCCCUCAGAGGGGGACGAGCGGUGGAAACGCCGGCUAAUACCCCAUGCUUGCGUCCGGGUUAGAGGCCGGAUGCAGAAAGGCCGAGGCGCUGAGGGAGGGGGCUGUGGUCCAUCAGCUAGUUGGUAGGGUAACGGCCUACCAAGGCGAGGACGGAUAGGGGGCCUGAGAGGGUGACCCCCCACACGGGCACUGAGACACGGGCCCGACGCGGACGGGAGGCAGCAGUAAGGGAUAUUGCGACAAUGGGCGAAAGCCUGACGCAGCAACGCCGCGUGGAGGAUGAAGGCCUUCGGGUUGUAAACUCCUUUUCUGUGGGAAGAGGAAGGACGGUACCACAGGAAGAAGUCUCGGCUAACUACGUGCCAGCAGCCGCGGUAAAACGUAGGAGGCGAGCGUUAUCCGGAUUUACUGGGUGUAAAGCGCGUGCAGGCGGUCUGGUAAGUCGAGCGUGAAAGCUCCCGGCUCAACCGGGAGAGGACGUGCGAAACUGCGAGGCUAGAGACAGGUAGAGGCGUACGGAAUUCCGGGUGUAGUGGUGAAAUGCGUAGAUAUCCGGAGGAACACCAGUGGCGAAGGCGGUACGCUGGGCCUGGUCUGACGCUAAGACGCGAAAGCAUGGGGAGCGAACGGGAUUAGAAACCCCGGUAGUCCAUGCCGUAAACGAUGCUAACUAGGUGUUGCGGGUAAAAGACCGGC